rnacentral:snRNA from 1 species
GUGCUAGCUUUGGCAAAGCACAUAUACUAAAAUUAGAACAAUACAGAGAAUAUUAGCAUGGCCCCU